CACUAGGAAGCUAAAAUCGGGCCUAGCGUCAGCCUUUUAAGCUGAAGAUGGUGGCCCCCAACCACCUCUAGUGA
rnacentral:tRNA from 1 species